rnacentral:lncRNA from 1 species
UGUCCUUAAAACCUGAAAUUGCACGAAAAUAGCUUAAAAUACUAAAAUUACUAAGUACUAGCAACAUAAAUGCAAGGAAACAAGCUAAUUAAGUCGCAUAAAUAUGCUCCUAUCAAAUUCCCCCACACUUAGCUUUUGCUAGUCCUCGAGCAAAACAAAACAAAACAAAACACAACCUAGACCUUCCAACAAUUGUCUUAGGGCUUUCCAAUGGACAUGACAUGCUAAAAAUCAUUACUUACACAGAUUUUAGUCAUCCUUACCCUCGAGCACAUACUUCAUCAUAGUGACCAUUCACUAGCUCGCAUUUAAUCAAUUAAAACGUGGUUUUGGAUGUAGUAACAUGCCUUAGAGAAUUCCCUCAAUUUCUUACUAGAUAUGCACUCAAUUUUCACUCAGAUUUUCUGACUACACUCCCUACACUAGAUAUAUGUGAGAAGAUUGAUGUAAACAUGAAAACUAGUACUCACAUAUGUUUUAGCAAAGAAAGCACUUUUUGGAAUUAUUAAUGCAUGUAUAUAUAUGAUCUCAUGAACGGAAUGCUACUACUUAGAAGCGAGAACCAGUGACAUCAUAUGCUCAUACCAAUUCCAAACUCCACAUAUUGAAAUACACAACACUCAAGAUUGAAGUCUAAGGGUUGUAACGAGGCUAAGGGUAUUGGCUAACAAAGAAAGGUAAGGAAAAACAAACGUUCUUCAAGCAAUAGUGAGCAAAGUCAUGAAAUUGACACUUAGAAUUCAAUUUUUCAUGCAGCAACUAACUUUAAACAAAAGGGAAGAUUCAUGCAAUACUUAGGGUCAAAUUCAAACUUUUGGACCCUUUCUUCAACAACCAAUACUUGUGAGUUCAUUCUCACUUAUUUUCAACUCUUUUUCUUUCUUUUCAACACACUUUUUUUUUUCUUUUUCUUUUUCCACGAAAAUUUUUAUUUUUUAUUUUUUUUAUUCCGUGCCUUUUUCUCUUUUUGGCACUCAAAACACAAAAUUCCCUUCCCCCACACUUGUUUUUCAGCAUAAUGUUGAUCAAAAGGAAUUCACUCUAAGUCAUGCUUCACUAUUCUUUAAGAACCAGGGCAUGGAUAGUCCUAAUCUAGGCUAGGUAGGGAUAAUGUGGUUAACAAAUAAAAUAGGCUAACGAAGGCUCAAAGGGGUUAAACCUACAAAACAUAUGACAAGGGUGGAUUUGGCUAUUUGGCUUUGGUUCACUAAACAACUUCAUCUUGAAUAUGUGUUAUGCAAAUCAAUGUCAUGCUUUGAAUGGAACGGGCAUGAGUUCUAGUAUUUGGAUCUAUAAUGAUGAAACGCAUUCUAAGUAGCAACCAACCAAAGAAUAAUGAGAUCAUGCAACAACUUUAGAAAACAAGAAAUCACAGAUUAAUAACUCUCCAAAUAACAUUUAGGCUCAAGUCUCACAAGGAUGUAGCGUUAGUUUGAGUUCCUUCCUUCAAGCAUGUUACAAAAACUAAUUUUGUUCUUUUGUGAUUGCAUGUGAAUUCGUAAACUAUAAGUACAACCAAGCAUAAACCACAGAGCAUAUCAAACUUCCAUCCAUGUUUAUAACUUUCUUUAACAGUCAUGCAAUUAAAAACCAAA